UAAGAAUAUUCCGCAAUGGGCGAAAGUCUGACGGAGCGACGCCGCGUGAGUGAUGAAGGCCCUUGGGUCGUAAAGCUCUGUCAUUGGGGACGAACGACCGCCUCAGGAAAUGGGGGCGGAGUGACGGUACCCAAGAAGGAAGCCACGGCUAACUACGUGCCAGCAGCCGCGGUAAUACGUAGGUGGCAAGCGUUGUCCGGAAUUAUUGGGCGUAAAGCGCGCGCAGGUGGGAUCUUAAGUCCAUUUUGAAAGUUCGGAGCUCAACUCCGUGAUGGGAUGGAAACUGGGAUUCUUGAGUAUCGGAGAGGAAAGCGGAAUUCCCCGUGUAGCGGUGAAAUGCGUAGAUAUGGGGAGGAACACCAGUGGCGAAGGCGGCUUUCUGGACGAUGUCUGACACUGAGGCGCGAAAGCCAGGGGAGCGAACG
rnacentral:rRNA from 1 species